rnacentral:lncRNA from 1 species
CGGUUUGUUUAUCCUCCCGGACUGUGUGCUACCCGGCUGGCCUACGCGUGUACUUGGUUUCUCCUCUGUGUGCCACCGUCUUUGAAAGCAUCCCUCCCUCCGCCGUAAAUCUCGGCAUUGGCUUGUUUUCCUCUGGUUGCCCCUAAGCCACGGACCGGUCUGUGACCCGUAACGGAGCGCCGACCUACCCUUGCCGCCCUGGAGGCCCACCUACUGGCUGGGGAAGGACACCCUGAGGGUGUCUGCCAAACUGUUUGCGGAGAAUCGCCGUCGGCUGUGCCAGGGGCUGGGUGCCGCCGGAGCGCCCCCAGGAGCGGUGGUCCUCUUGCAGGGCGGGGAGCAGAAGCAGCGGUACUGCACCGACACGGACGACGUCUUCAGACAGGAUCUAUCCCAUGGAGCACUUCAAAGAGAAAUAUGCUGUUGAUGUAAGUCCAUGUGAUGUAAGUCUAGGGAAGUCAUCACUUCUGCUCUGGUCCACUUGUGUUGGCUGACAUUUUCCCAGGAUCUGAACUUUAAAGUUAAGGUUAGCCAGCCAUAAACUUGCUGUGUCUCUGUAGGGCCGUUUCUAAAGGUGAAAUCCACCCAUCCCUACUUCAGUUCAUAGCUGGUGUUGGUGUUGAAAUGGCGGUGUGGUCCAAAUGUAAUGGUUCCAUACAAACGCUGAAUCCAUAUCAUAACUACAAUUGUGAGUGGGUUAGAAGGCCUCUUGAAUAUCUGCACUGUGAUUAAUUCUGUACAUUAGUGAUCUCAAUCAUCUCCUGUUAUUUAACUACCGGUAUCUUCGUUUUUUUAUCAAACAUCUAAGAGGGGCAGAGACAGAAUCUUAAAAGCCUGGCGGUAUUACUUUAAUGACACAUGACAUAAAAGUCAAUUUCAUUUCUUUAAAGGUGGUCAUUAAAAUAAAUUGUUCUUGCAGUAAUAUACUCCUUGAUUUUAUUUAAUUAAUGUUAUGACAUCUCGUUAUUGGUUAAGGAGCUAGUUCAAGCCAAUGGUUUCUGGAUAUUAAAGGCACGUGCGGUUUCUUUUGCUUUCAUUUUUCCUUGCUGACGACCUGCGUUUUUUUCAUUUAUCUUCACAAAACGAACUGAAAAAUAAUGACUGUCAAUGUCAUUUGACAUUUAGUUAAGUCAAAUAAGUAAGUACUUGAGUUAUUGAGUUUUGAUGU